rnacentral:rRNA from 1 species
GACGAACACUGGCGGCGUGCCUAAUACAUGCAAGUCGACCCUAGUGGCGAACGGGUGAGUAACCCGUGGGUAACCUGCCCAUAAGAAGGGGAUAACACUUGGAAACAGGUGCUAAUACCGUAAACUGAUGGAUGGACCCGCGGUGCAUUAGCUAGUUGGUGUGGUAACGGCUCACCAAGGGCACGAUGCAUAGCCGACCUGAGAGGGGGAGCGGCCACACUGCGACGGAGCCACGUCCCAAACUCCUACGGGAGGCGGCAGUAGGGAAUCUUCGACAAUGGACGAAAGUCUGACCGAGCAACGCCGCGUAAGUGAAGAAGGUUUGCGGAUCGUAAAACUCUGUUGUUAGAGAAGCGGUAUCUAACCAGAAAGCCACGGCUAACUACGUGCCAGCAGCCGCGGUAAUAC